UUUGUAUUAAUACGAAUAUUAGUCCUCUGAAUUGUGGUCGCUGUGGAAACCGAUGCCCAUUUAGGGUUCCAUGCUCGUUUGGGAUGUGUGGAUAUGCACAGCCUCGUCCAUUCCCUCCUCGCCCACCAAGACCAUUCCCUCCUCACCCGCCGCGACCGAUCCCUCCUCAUCCACCACGACCAUUCCCUCCUCCUCAUCCUCAUCGCCCUCAGCCAACACCAUGCCCUCCUACGCAGCCAGGGCCACCGCCCAGGACUUGCCCUCCAGGUUUGCCUCCGCCCCUAACAGGUGAUCAUUCACCAUCAAGGAGUUGAAGUUGUUGAACAGAAUCCAGUUAAAGAUUCAACUUAUAUAUGCACUAUCUGCUUGCUUUCUUCACAAAAGGGAAACUAAAAUAAAUGCCUUGUAUACGUUACGAUAGAACUCCCCAGUUGUUUGCAUUUUCCUGAAAUUUUUAUUAAGAAAACUGUUUGGUGUUUUAAAUCAUUGUCAAAACUCAAUAAAUAAUGGUUCUUCCAUAUACUCGAAACAAUCAUAUGCAAGAGCAAGAUUCUCAUACAAAAGAAUGCGAUUGAAAUGCAAAAUUAAUGGGACAUCAAUCAUGAUAUUAGUCGUUCGUGACCAAAGUAUUGCCAGAGCAUAACAAGAACAAUAAAAAAGCUUCCAUAAAAACCCAUAGGCCAUAUUUUUGUAAGAGACCACAUAGUUUCAGAGGUUUAUAUCUAAUACAUCCUAGUUUUCACUACUCUAUAACUUCGAUUCUACCGCAUAAAUAAACCUAAAAACCAACUAGUAGGACUUACCACCACCUGUUUGAAAUCUAAACCAAAUUACAAUUCAAAAUCUUCCAAUUUAAACAACAUAAUAGAAAUGUAAGACAAAAGUACUCAACACUAAUUUAAGAUUUUUGUUUUACUGCAAAAGAUCAAACCCCCUACUUAUUGAACAGAAGGGGGAAAUAGGAAAUUUUUUACUUUAAGAUUGAUGUGAGCCGUAUCAGCAGGCUUCUUGCCUUCUUCUUGAUUGGCUACUCCUGACAUCUUCUUCUAUCUAUGGGCCAUAUGGGAUUAGUAGGGUUCAAAAUAGCAGUGGCAUAGUGGUUCGCAGCCGCUAUUUCGCAGUAGCGGCGCCCCCGACACCACUAAACACAGUUCAACAAAUUUAACAUGCAGCGGAUGGCAGCCCGCAAGUAGCAGUGUAACGGGAAAUAGCGGCGAUAACAAGUCCGCUAUUUCAGCUAAAUCGAUGGGUUAAAGUAAACAGAGCAGUGCAGCAGACGCAGAGACGAGAAACAGAAACCGAGCCUGCCAUAACUCAAAAUCUGAUGACUCAAGUAGAAAUCAAUGUUUAAAUUAAGUUUAGGGUAUCAAAAAUUACCUUAGCUAAAUUCCUGGUCUCUCGGCAACUUGAAGGCGCUUGGGUCCUGAAGAGGAGGGUGGCUCGGGAAUUUUCGAAGGAGUGUUUAUUCGGACUAAGAAUUUUAUUUGAAUUUUAAAUUGUAAAUAUCUGGAAUGGGUUCAAUGGGAUUGGUCUCGAAACUUUUUUUUUUUUUUUUUAAAUCGAACUUUAAUAAAUUGGAUUGGACCGAAGUAUGUUGGAUUCAAAAUUUUUUGUCAUUGAAUUAAUUUUAAGUAUAAUGUAUC
rnacentral:lncRNA from 1 species